CCCUUAGAUGUUCUGGGCCGCACGCGUGCUACACUGAACGGUUCAAUGGGUAAGGUAGUGCGAAAGCAUGACCUAAUCUCGAAAUCCGUUCGUGCUGGGGAUAGAAGCUUGCAAUUAUCCUUCUUGAACGAGGAAUACCUUGUAAGCGUAAGUCAUCAUCUCACGCUGAAUACGUCCCUGCCCUUUGUACACACCGCCCGUCGCUCCUACCGAUUGAGUGUUCCGGUGAGGCUUCGGGAGAACUGGGUGGAUUGUGUUUCACAAACUGCUCGGUUUGAACUUAGUCAAACCUUAUCACUUAGAGGAAGGAGAAGUCGUAACA
rnacentral:rRNA from 1 species